rnacentral:rRNA from 1 species
GCAGUCGAACGAUCGCAAGAUAGUGGCGCACGGGUGAGGAACACGUAGCUAACCUGCCUUUGGGUCUGGGAUAACGUCGCGAAAGUGACGCUAAGACCGGAUAAGCUCCCGGGUUGUAGAGACCAGAGAGAAAAGGGGCAAGACGCCUGAAGAGGGGGCUGCGGCGCAUCAGCUAGUUGGUGGGGUAAAGGCCUACCAAGGCAACGACGCGUAAGGGGUCUGAGAGGAUGAUCCCUCACACUGGGACUGAGACACGGCCCAGACUCCUACGGGAGGCAGCAGUGAGGAAUAUUGCACAAUGGGGGGAACCCUGAUGCAGCGACGCCGCGUGGGUGAUGACGGCCUUCGGGUUGUAAAGCCCUUUUGCCAUUGACGAGAACGGACGGUAGAUGGCGAAUAAGCCUCGGCUAACUACGUGCCAGCAGCCGCGGUAAAACGUAGGAGGCGAGCGUUAUCCGGAGUUACUGGGCGUAAAGCGUGCGCAGGCGGUGCCAUAAGUCAGGUGUGAAAGGUUCCGGCUCAACCGGGAAAACGCGCUUGAGACUGUGGGACUAGAGUGGGAUAGAGGGACGUGGAAUUCCGGGUGGAGCGGUGAAAUGUGUAGAGAUCCGGAGGAACACCAGAGGCGCAAGCGGCGUCCUGGGUCCCAACUGACGCUGAGGCACGAAAGCUUGGGGAGCGAACGGGAUUAGAGACCCCGGUAGUCCAAGCCGUAAACGAUACAGACUCGGUGUCCACUCUCGCAAGGGAGGGGGCGCCACAGCUAACGCGAUAAGUCUGCCGCC